AUUGAACGCUGGCGGAAUGCUUUACACAUGCAAGUCGAACGGGAGUAGCAAUACUCUAGUGGCGAACGGGUGAGUAACACAUCGGAACGUACCCUGACGUGGGGGAUAACACAUCGAAAGGUGUGCUAAUACCGCAUACGUCCUGAGGGAGAAAGCGGGGGAUCGUAAGACCUCGCGCGUUUGGAGCGGCCGGUGGCGGAUUAGCUAGUUGGUGGGGUAAAGGCCGACCAAGGAGACGAUCCGUAGCUGGUCCGAGAGGACGACCAGCCACACUGUGACUGAGACACGGCCCAGACUCCUACGGGAGGCAGCAGUGGGGAAUUUUGGACAAUGUGCGAAAGCCUGAUUCAGCCAUUCCGCGUGAGUGAAGAAGGCCUUCGGGUUGUAAAGCUCUUUCGGCAGGAACGAAACGGCUCUUUCUAAUACAAGGAGUCAAUGACGGUACCUGAAGAAGAAGCACCGGCUAACUACGUGCCAGCCGCCGCGGUAA
rnacentral:rRNA from 1 species